UACGGAGGGGGCUAGCGUUAUUCGGAAUUACUGGGCGUAAAGCGCACGUAGGCGGAUUGGUAAGUUGGAGGUGAAAUCCCCGGGCUCAACCUUGGAACUGCCUUCAAAACUGCCAGUCUUGAGUUCGAGAGAGGUAAGUGGAAUUCCGAGUGUAGAGGUGAAGUGCGUAGAGAUUCGGAGGAACACCAGUGGCGAAGGCGGCUUACUGGCUCUAUACUGACGCUGAGGUGCGAAAGCGUGGGGAGCAAACAGG
rnacentral:rRNA from 1 species